rnacentral:rRNA from 1 species
UGGGGAAUAUUGGGCAAUGGGGGAAACCCUGACCCAGCAACGCCGCGUGAGGGAAGAAGGCCUUCGGUUGUAAACCUCUGUCCUAUGGGACGAACAAAUGACGGUACCAUAGGAGGAAGCUCCGGCUAACUACGCGCCAGCAGCCGCGGUAAUACGUAGGGAGCAAGCGUUGUCCGGAAUUACUGGGCGUAAAGGGUGCGUAGGCGGUUUGAUAAGUCAGAUGUGAAAUACCUGGGCUCAACUCGGGGGCUGCAUUUGAAACUGUCAAACUUGAGUGCAGGAGAGGAAAGCGGAAUUCCUAGUGUAGCGGUGAAAUGCGUAGAUAUUAGGAGGAACACCAGUGGCGAAGGCGGCUUUCUGGACUGUAACUGACGCUGAGGCACGAAAGCGUGGGAGCAAACAGGAUUAGAUACCCUGGUAGU